UACGUAGGGUGCGAGCGUUAAUCGGAAUUACUGGGCGUAAAGCGUGCGCAGGCGGUUCGUUGUGUCGGCGGUGAAAGCCCCGGGCUUAACCUGGGAAUGGCCGUUGAAACUGGCGAACUGGAGUGUGGCAGAGGGGGGUGGAAUUCCGCAUGUAGCAGUGAAAUGCGUAGAGAUGCGGAGGAACACCGAUGGCGAAGGCAGCCCCCUGGGCUAACACUGACGCUCAGGCACGAAAGCGUGGGGAGCAACA
rnacentral:rRNA from 1 species